UAAGGAGUCAAAGGAGGAGCAGGUAGUGGAAGGGCGGGGAUGAAGAGCUCACUGUGUCCUUGUCUCCAAGGUGACAGGUGGUGAACAACUAAUAAACUAUUUUGAUUAAAACAGCAUGCAAAUGAGGGCAUGUAGAAUGUGGAAAUAUUUAAUGUUAAGCGUCUGAUCCUCACAACCCCCCAUCACCCUAGAGAGAAAUGAAUCUUCUUGUUAGACCUUAAAAUGCUAUCUGUCUUGAUGUCGUACAUCAGUCUCAUAUGCUUCGACUCUCUGUAAAUUUUCUUGUACUUGUCCAUAGUAAAUCACUCUCCCUGGUCCCCCCUGCCCCCCGGUUCUGCUAUUUGGGGUUGCCUUGUUAAAUAUUAGUGUGAGUUGCUAGCAUUGUUUUUCAGGGUUCAAUUUCUUCCCUGGGGUCUCUGAAGUUAAAUCCUGGAGUGGUAAAUGAAGGCAUCUUGUUUGGUCUUUGGUCAUAUGCACCCAUGUCAGUCAUAUACAACCAGCCUCCAAAGGGUCACAGGAUUGCACCCAAGCCCUUCCCCCCACCACUCUCAGAUUCCCCAUUAGAGCAGCAGAAAACUCCGAGAAUAUCGAUGCCAUAAAAACAUAAGAGCAGCCUUGCUGGUCCAGGCCAAAGGCUCAUCUGUUACAGCAUCCUGUUCUCAAAUGCCUACAGGAAGCAGGACCAGAGUACAGCAGGACUAUUUCCACUUAACAUUCCCCAAAACAGUGGAGACAGAACAUGUCCCACUAGCAGUGUUCUGCCAGCUGAGGUGAUGGAAACUGGAGAUUCAAUUGGAGAUUCAACUGGAGAAGUGAUUCAGUUAAACACGCUGUAAACUCGUACAGGGAAAUCCGGUAGGGAAAGAUGGAACUCCACAGUGCCAUCUGGUGUCACUGUGUUAUAUCGCGUAUUCAGUGUAUAUAAAAUGCUUUUUCUUUACCAGUCUAGCUGAGUCCCCACACACCCAUAGAAUCAGCCUAACACUAUGCCAGUCUGACAUAGUAUCUCCCCCUUCCCCACACCAUCCAUAAGACAGCAUUGUUUUGCCCAAACAUUUUAAAAUGAUAAUAAAUAUCCCCAAAUAAAUCCUGUAAUUUAGUAUAAAGUUAGAGAAUCAAUGAAGCACAAUGAAAUACAAAUUGCAUUUGUCUUAAAUUGCAUGCAUACAUUGCAGAACAAAUACAUUUUAAAUAGCCAAAAAUAUAAAACAAGUUUCCCAUAAAAUUUCACAGGUAGAGGCAAUAAGUAAAGAGCUUGCAACGGGCAAAGGAACCAAUUUGAGGUCAUUGAAGGGCUACAGAGGUUAUUAACAUUCAGUAAUCAUCUGCAUUUUGUAGGCUGAUGUUUUUUGCAAAUGUCAAGGACCUGUUAAGAGAAGGUAAUCGAACCCAUUCUUCAAAAGCAAUGCAGCAGAGACUUUUUCUACAGCACUUUUACUCUUAAGUAAAGGAUAAAGAGGCAUGACUUAAUGGACCUGCCUAAUGUCGCUCCAAAUAGAAUGCAUUGGCUAUACAGGGGUGCAUCUUAUGCCUUUAAAUGAGGAUAAGUAUUCCACACCAACUGAGGCAUAUUUUGCAGAAGAAUGUCAGUUAUCCUCCUGCAAAUUAUUCCAUUCCUUUAAAGAAUGCAGAAAAACCACAUCUCCAUUUUUUGCACAGACAUAGCGGCUCAAGUGAGGACCAAACUAGAUAUGAUGUUAACAUGAAUUAUUGUAUUUCUUUCAAAAAAGAUAAAUCUUUUAGUGAUAAUUUUAUUGUUUUAUGUCAUUAUUUAAAACGUACAGAAAGUUAAAACCACAAUAGAAUAGAUAGACUUAAACAAAUUAAAACUGGUUUUUAUUAUAUAAAUAACAGCCACAGAGAUGCCUGGUUAGCCUUGAGUUGGUAGGGGGAGAAAGUUUAAUUUCGGUCAUUUCCAGAUGACUUUUUUAAUGGAGCAUUCAUCCUGAUUGUUUAGAUUGACAUUGCCUGAGGCAACUGUUACCGCUCACUUUCCAGUGUAUUUUCCCACCACUUUCCUUACUGCAAAACGUCAGGUUUGGGGAAGGAAGUGAGUUUGUUGUGCAAGACCACCAAAUCCACUUUAAUUGUGCAACCUAGAUUUGCUGCUACACUGUCAAAUCCCACCCUCAAAUACCCACCCAAUCUCAACGCGCCCUCCCUGUUGAUGCCACAGCCAGACGAAAAUUUCAAGGGAAAGCCCAGGUUCUGCAGCAGGUAAAGGUAAAGGUAAAGGGACCUAUGACUGUUAGGUCCAGUCAUGACCGACUCUGGGGUUGCGGCACUCAUCUCGCUUUAUUGGCUGAGGGAGCCGGUGUACAGUUUCCGGGUCAUGUGGCCAGCCUGACUUAAGCCGCUUCUGGCGAACCAGAGCAGUGCACGGAAACGCAGUUUACCUUCCCACCAGAGCAGUACCUAUUGACCUACUUGCACUUUGAUGUGCUUUCGAACUGCUAGGUGGGCAGGAGCAGGGACCGAGCAACAGGAGCUCACCCUGUCAUGGGGAUUCGAACCGCCGACCUUCUGAUCGGCAAGUCCUAGGCUCUGUGGUUUAAUCCACAACGCCACCCGUGUCCCUCUGCAGCAGGUAUCAGAGCAUAUAUCAUAUGCCCUUGGAAUACAAGUUGAGAAGACCUAGGUAUGGGUUAAUUUGGUGCAACCCAAAUUAAGAGAAAAGAAGAAAUCGUGCUUAUUGCAAUGGUUCUUUUAAAAACAACAACAUUGAAUGGAUUUGUUUGCUUUCUUCAAUAACCCGAGAUUGCAUGUGCUUCUAGUCGUAGAACUGUCCUUAGUCUCUAAUUGGCCACCAAGUAAGAGCAACCACUGCUGCCACCAUCACUUGUGAUCCAGCUUGGCACCCUUGCUGACCAAGGGGCAAGAAGUGUCUGUGCCUGCGUAAAAACAUUCUCCUUUGUUCAGCCCAGCUGUCAUUUACAUUAGAAAAGUGCUGAAGCACAGUUAAAGGGCAAGAAAAAGGAUGGGGAAGUGUUCACUUCCAUUACCUAUUCUGGUCUUUAGAGAGAAGACAUCUGUCUCAAGGGCAGUUAGCUUGGCUCUGUUCGUAAUGCAAUAAAUUCUUGACAAUGUCUCCUCCAUAACUUACUCGGAUUAAUAAAUAAAGACUAUCCUGAUUAAGCCAUCCUUUCGCUUUCCUGGACAUUUCCCCUUUGCUUGAUAUAAUCCAGCGCAGAGUAAUGUGUGGCUAAGACCAUUCAUUUAAUGAGUUCCCUUGUGCUUAACUUUGUUCUUUCUCUAUUAUUUCUUCCUCUUUCAUGAUCUUUUCUCCAAUAUCUGUUUCAUGUACUUUUCUUUACUUAAAUAUGGCUAGGUGUUUCACUGCAACACAUCAUUCUAAUCUCCAUUAAUUUGUUCCACCUCUAAUAAUCACAUUGUUUUCAAAGGGCAAUGCAGUGCCUGACAGUUUGUCCUGUUUGCAACUGAUUAGACAUAAACAUUUUUCUCUUAGAAACCAACCAACCAACCAGGCACCCCUGCAUUUGGUAUGCUGUUGUUUUGGAUAAUUUUGGAUCAUUGAUUCUCAAUUGUUGGUUGGGAUUUCUUUAUGCUACUAAUUCCUGAUGGAUGGUACUGCAAUUCUAUAAUUGCAGUAAUGGAUGGCACAGAAGGCAGAAGCAUUUACUUGACCUCCCAGCACCUGGUCACUGGGAGGGAAAGGAGGAGCGGCAAGGAGGUAGGGAAUUUGACAUGGUGUAAACGCACCAGCUGGAGCAUUGGAUUUGCACCAUGCCCACCUCUCCCUCCCAGUAAGCGGCAGUGAUUCAGAUGUUGGGAGGUUAGAACCACUGUUGGCCUCAUCCACUCAAUCUGCCAGAGCCUGUCUUCACAUGCAGGGGAAGUCCCUAAGUCAGGGGUCAGCAAUGUGUGGCCCAUGGGCCAGAUGCGGCCCACGAAGACCGUUUUACCGGCCCACAAGCCGCCCCCAAACUGAGCCGCCCGUGCGCUGUGCUAAGCUGGUGCGGCAUGGGGACUUACCAAGCGGUACUGGAAAUUGCUUCUGUGCAUGUGCAGAUACCGAAAAUCGCGGCUGCGCAUGUCCAGACAACAGAAGUCGGUUCUGCGCAGGCGCAAUUUUCGGCGUCUCGGCAUGCGCAGAAGCAAUUUCCGGCCCUGCACACAUACACAGACACGAUUUCUGGUGUCACGCUGCACCAGUCUGGCCCAUGGACGAUCUCCAUGGGAGUGAUCCAGCCCAUGGCCGGCAAACCUUGCCGACCCCUGCCCUAAGUCAUCAAGAGUUUGAGACCCAUCUGCUACCCUCAUCUGGUUUAGCUGGCCAGUCGAAGCCCUUCCCACAGUGUGUCUGCUGUUGCAUGCUGACAGCUUUCAGGAGCCACAUGUGAGAACUGAGUGCGGGAUGGGGAACCAAAGGUGGACAAACAACUCCAGAAGGAGCACGAACAACAUGUUCCCAACCAGAGGUGGUACUAUUCCCCUAAGAGCCCCACCCUACCCUUGUAGCCACUAGCAGGUGGAAUAUAAGUCACAAUUAAAAAUAAUUUCUAUUCAACAGACACUGCUAAAUAGUUUUAUCUGGAUGAUCUGUCUGUCACUUCAUGACUGGAGAAUGGAUAAUCUGCUUCUCAUAGAGCUGUUUAGAAAACAGAGAUUGCUUUCAAGUGGACCUGUCAUCAUGCUCAGUUUGUUAUUGAGUUGCUGAGAGAAUAUAUUAUGUUCUGAGUUUGUAACAACAACAACAACAACAUUUAUUUGUUUGUUUGUUUUAUCCCACCCAUCUGGCUGGGUUUCCCCAGCUACUCUGGGCAACUCGACUCCCAACA
rnacentral:lncRNA from 1 species